CGCAUCUGUGCAUGCAGCAUAUCAAUAAGCGGAGGAAAAGAAACUAACAAGGAUUCCCCUUAGUAACGGCGAGUGAAGCGGGAAGAGCUCAAAUUUGAAAUCUUCAAGGGUUUACCUUUACGAAUUGUAGUUUAAAGAAGUGUUUCUCUGUUGAAGGUUUUGGUAAAAGUUCUUUGGAAUAGGACAUCAUAGAGGGUGAGAAUCCCCGUAUUUGACCAUUACUUUCAAGCUGUGUGAUACACUUUCAAAGAGUCGGAUUGUUUGGGAAUGCAGUCCAAAAUGGGUGGUAAAUUUCAUCUAAAGCUAAAUAUUGGCGAGAGACCGAUAGCGAACAAGUACCGUGAGGGAAAGAUGAAAAGAACUUUGAAAAGAGAGUUAAACAGUACGUGAAAUUGUCAAAAGGGAAGCGUUUGACACCAGUGUUGUUUUUCUGAAAAUCAAUUAAAGAACUGUUUAUGCUAAGUUGUUUAGACUUUAUCAGCUAUCUGCUUAGUUUUGAGCUUUUCUUUAAUGCACUUUUCAGUUAACAAGUCAACAUCAAUUUCUUUUGCUGUAAAAAAGCUUGAGGAAGGUGGCUUGAGAUUCGUCUUAAGUGUUUAUAGCCUCUUGCCUAUGCAGUCGGAGAGAUUGAGGUCUGCAGCGUAGAUCCUUCGGGGCUAAAUGCAUUUGUGCUAAGUUAUAGCAUUUUAUAGACAACUUGUUGACUAUGAUUUGUCUUGUAGCUUACUCGCUUAUGUUAUUUUACCUACGCUUAGGAUGUUGACGAGACUGUCGAUCUC
rnacentral:rRNA from 1 species